rnacentral:ribozyme from 1 species
AACACAACUACGAAUGAAGAGAGAAAAGAGCACAAAAGAAGCAAGAGAAUUUGUGAAGAGAGCGCGCACUUCACUUGCCUCUCUUCAUAUUCUCUUGUCCUUUUGGCUCUUUUCACCCUUCAUUCUCCCAUCCUG